UAGGGAAUCUUCCGCAAUGGGCGAAAGCCUGACGGAGCAACGCCGCGUGAGUGAUGAAGGUCUUCGGAUCGUAAAACUCUGUUAUUAGGGAAGAACAAAUGUGUAAGUAACUAUGCACGUCUUGACGGUACCUAAUCAGAAAGCCACGGCUAACUACGUGCCAGCAGCCGCGGUAAUACGUAGGUGGCAAGCGUUAUCCGGAAUUAUUGGGCGUAAAGCGCGCGUAGGCGGUUUUUUAAGUCUGAUGUGAAAGCCCACGGCUCAACCGUGGAGGGGCAUUGGAAACUGGAAAACUUGAGUGCAGAAGAGGAAAGUGGGAUUCCAUGUGUAGCGGUGAAAUGCGCAGAGAUAUGGAGGAACACCAGUGGCGAAGGCGACUUUCUGGUCUGUAACUGACGCUGAUGUGCGAAAGCGUGGGGAUCAAACAGG
rnacentral:rRNA from 1 species